rnacentral:lncRNA from 1 species
ACAUAAGGUAGUUGAUGUGAAUCUUACAUGCAAUAUUUUGAAUGAGAAAGCUGAAAAGUCAUUCGUCAUCGAACUUUAUACACCCUAGUAAGAAAGUGUGUUACAUUUUUUAAAUUAGACCAAAUCGUGUUCUAAAUUUGAUCUAGUUUGCGUCAACACAUACUUUUCACAGUAGUUUAUUGUGGAAGGUAACAUAUUCAUGCCAUCAUGCUAUUGAAAAUCUUCUGAUUGGGACCAUGAGUAACAAUCAAGGCUUCUCACACCCUAUACAUUGAAGUCCAAAUCCUCUCAUCGACGCAUCAAGGCCACAUAGAAGGUAUUAUAAUAACAAUAUGCAAGUCAGUGAGAAAGCACACAUUUAGUUCUUGUUAGAAAGCAAGCGUAUCAAGUAUUGCUUUUUGUAGCCAAAGAUUGUCCAAGAACUUGUCAAGCUUUGCAAACUUCUUCAAGUCUAUAUACUCUCCAAGGUUGCUGCCGGGAAAGCACCCAAAGUCCAUCCUUUCAAUAUUUCAAAUCAAAUGCCUUGACCUCAGAGGUCGAUUUAGUCAUGAUGCAAUCUCUUUUCUUUGUGAAAGUAGUCAUCAAGUAAUAUUUUCAGGUGGCACUCUCAACUAAACAUUCUAAACUUGGGCUCCCUCUC